AUGCUUAACACAUGCAAGUCGAACGGUAACAGAUAAGAUGAUCUCUUCGGAGUGAAUCUUUGCUGACGAGUGGCGGACGGGUGAGUAAUGCUUGGGAAUCUGCCCAAUAGUGGGGGAAAACUCGGGGAAACCCGGGCUAAUACCGCAUAAUCUCUACGGAGGAAAGAGGGCCUCUACAUGUAAGCUCUCGCUAAUGGAUGAGCCCAAGUCAGAUUAGCUUGUUGGUAAGGUAAUGGCUUACCAAGGCUACGAUCUGUAGCUGGUCUGAGAGGACGACCAGCCACACUGGGACUGAGACACGGCCCAGACUCCUACGGGAGGCAGCAGUGGGGAAUAUUGCACAAUGGGCGCAAGCCUGAUGCAGCAAUGCCGCGUGUGUGAAGAAGGCUCUAGGGUUGUAAAGCACUUUCAAUAGAGAAGAAAAGCUUGAAAUUAAUACCUUCAAGCCUUGACGUAACCUAUACAAGAAGCACCGGCUAAUUCCGUGCCAGCAGCCGCGGUAAUACGGGAGGUGCGAGCGUUAAUCGGAAUUACUGGGCGUAAAGCGAGCGUAGGCUGUUAAUUAAGUCGAAUGUGAAAUCCCCGGGCUCAACCUGGGAACUGCAUCCGAAACUAUUUAACUAGAGUAUGGGAGAGGAAAGUAGAAUUUCCGGUGUAGCGGUGAAAUGCGUAGAUAUCGGAAGGAACACCAGUGG
rnacentral:rRNA from 1 species